CCUACGGGUGGCAGCAGUGGGGAAUAUUGCACAAUGGGGGAAACCCUGAUGCAGCGACGCCGCGUGAGUGAAGAAGUAUCUCGGUACGUAAAGCUCUAUCAGCAGGGAAGAAAAUGGUGGUACCUGACUAAUAAGCCACGGCCAAAUACGUGCCAGCAGCCGCGGGAAUACGUAGGGGGCAAGCGUUAUCCGGAUUUACUGGGUGUAAAGGGAGCGUAGACGGCAGCACAAGUCUGGAGUGAAAUCCCCGGGCUUAACCCCGGAACUGCUUUUGAAACUGGGCGGCUGGAGUGCAGCAGGGGUAAGCGGAAUGCCUAGUGUAGCGGUGAAAUGCGUAGAUAUUAGGAGGAACACCGGUGGCGAAGGCGGCUUACUGGACUGUAACUGACGUUGAGGCUCGAAAGCGUGGGGAGCAAACAGGAUUAGAUACCCUAGUAGUC
rnacentral:rRNA from 1 species